rnacentral:rRNA from 1 species
GAUGAACGCUGGCGGCGUGCCUAAUACAUGCAAGUCGAGCGAACAGACGAGAAGCUUGCUCCUCUGACGUUAGCGGCGGGCGGGUGAGUAACGCGUGGAUAACCUACCUCUUAGACUGGGAUAACUACGGGAAACCGGAGCUAAUACCGGAUAAUAUAUUGAACCGCAUGGUUCAAUAGUGAAAGACGGCUUUGCUGUCACUUAUAGCUGGAUCCGCGUCGGAUUAGCUAGUUGGUAAGGUAACGGCUUACCAAGGCGACGAUGCGUAGCCGAUCUGAGAGGGUGAUCGGCCACACUGGAACUGAGACACGGUCCAGACUCCUACGGGAGGCAGCAGUAGGGAAUCUUCCGCAAUGGGCGCAAGCCUGACGCAGCAACGCCGCGUGAGUGAUGAAGGUCUUCGGAUCGUAAAACUCUGUUAUUAGGAAAGAACAAAAGCGUAAGUAACUAUGCACGUCUUGACGGUACCUAAUCAGAAAGCAACGGCUAACUACGUG